UACGAAGGGUGCAAGCGUUAAUCGGAAUUACUGGGCGUAAAGGGUGCGUAGGCGGUUCGUUAAGUCUGUUGUGAAAUCCCCGGGCUCAACCUGGGAAUGGCAAUGGAUACUGGCGGGCUAGAGUGUGUCAGAGGAUGGUGGAAUUCCCGGUGUAGCGGUGAAAUGCGUAGAGAUCGGGAGGAACAUCAGUGUCGAAGGCGGCCAUCUGGGACAACACUGACGCUGAAGCACGAAAGCGUGGGGAGCAAACAGG
rnacentral:rRNA from 1 species